CGGACGGGUGAGUAACACGUGGAUAACCUACCUAUAAGACUGGGAUAACUUCGGGAAACCGGAGCUAAUACCGGAUAAUAUUUUGAACCGCAUGGUUCAAAAGUGAAAGACGGUCUUGCUGUCACUUAUAGAUGGAUCCGCGCUGCAUUAGCUAGUUGGUAAGGUAACGGCUUACCAAGGCAACGAUGCAUAGCCGACCUGAGAGGGUGAUAGGCCACACUGGAACUGAGACACGGUCCAG
rnacentral:rRNA from 1 species